CCUGACCAGUUACCCUAUCAAGCUCUUUAAUUAAGUAUACUCUGUUCUCUGCAUCCUGCCAUAGUCUAUCAAAUACACUCAAAACAAUAUUCAGUAGAUUGAAUUUUAUGGGGUAGAGAAAAAAGAAGAAAAUAUAUAACAAUAUAGGAUUCUAUUUUCAGUAAAUUACACACGAACUCAUUUAUCAGAAUCCAAAACUUCAAAAUAUGAUAAGAAAAUAGCCAUGACUAAGGAUAAACCCUAACAGAGGAACCAAGGUGAACAGAUGACCAAAAUGGAAAA